rnacentral:rRNA from 1 species
GACGUAGGGGGCAAGCGUUGUCCGGAUUCAUUGGGCGUAAAGAGCGUGUAGGCGGCCAGGUAGGUCGGUUGUGAAAUCUCGAGGCUCAACUUCGAGCUGUCGGUGGAAACUGUCUGGCUAGAGUCCGGAAGAGGAGAAUGGAAUUCCUGGUGUAGCGGUGAAAUGCGCAGAUAUCAGGAAGAACACCCGUGGCGAAGGCGGUUCUCUGGGACGGUACUGACGCUGAGACGCGAAAGCAUGGGGAGCGAACAGG